UACAGAGGGGGCAAGCGUUAUUCGGAAUUAUUGGGCGUAAAGGGCGCGUAGGCGGUGCGGUAAGUCACCUGUGAAACCUCUAGGCUUAACCUAGAGCCUGCAGCCGAUACUGCGGGGCUCGAGUUCGGUAGAGGGCAGCAGAAUUCCCGGUGUAGCGGUGAAAUGCGUAGAUAUCGGGAGGAAUACCGAUGGCGAAGGCAACUGCCUGGGCCUGAACUGACACUGUGACACGAAAGCGUGGGUAGCAAACAGG
rnacentral:rRNA from 1 species